UACGUAGGCAGCAAGCGUUGUUCGGAGUUACUGGGCGUAAAGGGUGCGUAGGCGGCUUUUUAAGUUUGGUGUGAAAUCUCCCGGCUCAACUGGAAGGGUGCGCCGAAUACUGAGAGGCUAGAGUGUGGGAGAGGAAAGUGGAAUUCCUGGUGUAGCGGUGAAAUGCGUAGAUAUCAGGAGGAACACCGGUGGUGUAAACGGCUUUCUGGACCAUAACUGACGCUGAGGCACGAAAGCGUGGGUAGCAAACAGG
rnacentral:rRNA from 1 species